rnacentral:rRNA from 1 species
GACGUAGGGCGCGAGCGUUGUCCGGAUUUAUUGGGCGUAAAGAGCUCGUAGGCGGUUUGUCGCGUCUGCUGUGAAAACCCGAGGCUCAACCCCGGGCCUGCAGCCGAUACGGGCAAGCUAGAAUUCGGUAGGGGAGACUGGAAUUCCUGGUGUAGCGGUGAAAUGCGCAGAUAUCAGGGAGGAACGACCGGUGGCGGAAGGCGGGUCUCUGGGCCGAUAUUGACGCUGGAGGAGCGAAAUGCGUGGGGAGCGAACAGG